AACCCUAAAGUAGUCUCUGAUUUCUAACCCGAUCUCUCACCUUUUCUGUCACUCUCUCCCUUUGACUCCCAAACCCUUACCUUCAACCCACCCCUCUCUACCGCCGAUCCUCCUCACCCUAGCCCUAGCCUAGAUUUUUCACCCUCACUCAAUUCUAAUUUGAAAUUUUCUUUGUUUUUUUUUUUUUUUUUUUUUUGAACGAUUACGUUGCCGGAUGGGACUGUGAAGGAAGGGAAGAAGUGGGUGACAUGCGAGAGAGAUUUCGAAGAGUUUGGCUGCCAACGCUUUGAUUUCUGAGGUCAAUGGGGUUCUGUGGGACAUGUCUAGGCCUCUGGAGUCUGAUUUUGAGCUCAAGCUCUUCACUUUUGAAUCCGACGAAGGCUGCGACACUUGCUAACACUACAGCGCUCACAUUCUCGGCAAGUCGCUUGAGCAAGAGUAUGGGUACAUGUCAUGUGUUUGAGGAAAUUUCUCUUUGACCGGUGGUACAUAAUCCUUUGAUUCAAUUAAUCUUUUCUUUUCCCUAAAACUUUGUUUCUCUCUCUCUCUUGUAUUAUUUUUCGAACUCUGUUUCUCUCUCUCUCUCUCUCUCUCUCUCUCUCUUUCGCAAACUCAAACAUCAGCGAGUCACCGCAAAGGCGAAUCGGAGCUACGAAGACUGAGUUGGAUCAGUCUCACCGUGUUUGAAUUGGCGACCGAGGCGUCUCUCUCCGCAGAGUGAAAGUUCAUCAUUCUGUUAUUAAUUCGUAUAAUUUUAUACUAGUUUCUUUCAAUUGAUCGUGUUUUGAGUGGCUCUGUUUUUUUAUAAAUUAGUUCUUUUUAGGUAAUAUAAUUAUCGAUUUUGCUUUUAUUUUUGUGUUCGUUAGAUUUUUUUUGGUUUCUGAGAAAAUUCAGCAGAGGAGAGAGAAACUGAUUUGAAAUCUUACAUUUUCUGGUCUAGUUGCCUCCAUAACGAAAUUUAAAGUUUCUUUUUCUCUGGAACGAAUACACGGAGAAUAUAAGGUUUCAAAGCUCUGGAUUCCUUUUUCCCUUUUACGCUAGGUUUCUCAGUGGCCAAACAGUACACUAGGGUCAAAUUGAUGAAAUUGGAUAAUUUAGAGUGUCAUUGUUUCCUUCUGUGCCUGCGUGUGUGAAAGUGAAUUUUGGUUGAGCUAUGAUUGUGUAUGAAAUUGAAUUGCAAUGCGUGGAUUGCUGUGGAUGUUAUUUUUGGUUGAAGUAAUUGUGGGAAUUUCGCAUUCAAUCUGUAUCUUAGUUUUUCCGGUCAUUGCUGAUUUAUGCUCCAUUCAAAGUUUUUUCUGCUAGAUUAUGGCUGAUUUAUGCUCCUUUCAAGGUUUUUUCUGCUAGAUUAUGGUUGUUUAAUUUCAAUUAGUGUGGUGAUAUGGUUGUCUUGGUGCAUUUUCUGUGUUAAUUAUAUACUGUUACAUUUUUGAAUGUUUAGUUUAUUUUUACAUGUUGUAUGUUAUUUAAAUCUACGUGGGAACGCGAGUUAUAUCAUGCGUUUGACGCGUGUGGUGAUUUCUUGUUUCAGUAGAUUUUUUUAAUUUUUUUUUUUGGGUUUGUCGUUGUGUGAUAUCAUUAUCGACGCUGUUGUUUGCAGUUGAUAUUUUAUGUGGCAAAUAUCAUUUGUAGUUUUGCGAGCAUUUUAGGAACUUCUUCCAUUAUGUGCCUUCUGGUUGGAACUCAAUAAAGCAGUUCCUUAGUAGGGUUGAUAUUACUCCAGUAAUCUUUCUAGGAAAAACUCUUUGUUGGUAAGGAGGCACCAGCGUUUCAUUUGACUUUGAUUUCGUUAAAUUAAAUUUUAUUAAGCAGAUAUGGUAGUUGAAAUUAUGUCUGCUUUCGGUGUAUUGAAUUUUUUAUUAAUGGAGAAACUGACACCGCAACUGAAAUGGUCUUCCUUGAAGGUGUUAUGAAAUAAUUACAUUGCAUCAUGAGAGUAUUGUGUUUGGAAACAACAACUCAUUAUUCAAUGGGGGUAUUAUUAGGAUUGAUUUAAUUAACAAAGAGUGAACCUUUUUAAUGGCAAUGGCAUAGGGAAUUUAGAAACACACCCUAAUUGUUUGUGUUUUUUUCUUUUUCUUGCUAAUAUGUUUCAAUAUUGUGAACCUCUAAUUAAGAUGAGGAGGGAAAAAUGGGGGAAGGAAGUAAACUACAAAUAUGAUUAGAACAAACAUGACAUCAAGUAGUGGAAAAAAUAACUUUGGAAGUCGGGGUAAAAUGGCUUUUUUUAUUUGGAAGUAGCUUUAUGGACACAUAAAGAGUUACUGCAAAUAUAAAUAGAACGAAUGUGAAUUCAUGAAGCAACUUACUGACUUAGGAAGCUGGGGGUGAAAAAGCUUUUUGUUUUGGUAGUGUCUUUAUGGAAGGUACCGGAAAAAAUAUACAUUUUUGUUUUGGUAGUGUCUUUAUGGACAAAAAAUUAUGUACCGGAAAAAGAAAACACCACUACUCAAUAACUCAGCAUUUCUGUAACCUUGCUCAAUAUAUCUUGUGAUAUUAACAAAUUCUUUAUAAACGUUUGAAGCAUUUUGGAUUGUAAGUGACAUGCUUGGUGCAGUUUUUAGGCUAACGACUACUACAGCUGUUCAUCAUAAAUCAAGUUUGGCAUGUGUUCUCCCCAAAUAAAGUAGCUUAAGUAACCAAUUUUUUCUGUAUUUGAUUUAGCAAUCUUUUACGUAUUUUCUCCCACGUUGUUAGAGGUGCAGAAGGGAUCACAAUAGAAGUUAGCAAAAAUGUCAACAGGUUUGCUUUUUUUCUUUUUUUCAAAUUCUUUGUUCCUUAAACCAUAAGCCAUUUAAUUGAUAAAUAGCUAUUGUUAAAUCCCAUGGGAUAUAGAUAUGAUAGUCAAUACCCAUACAUGCGUGAUGAUCAUGGACUCUCUGCUUUAUUUGAUGUCGCCCAAAAGGUUGUGGAAGGGAAAUACAAGGAAAUGGUUUUCUUUGUUAAGUGAUUUUUGUUGUUUUCCUCUGCUUCCUACUUUCCAAUAUUAGGUGGAGGCUUACUGUUUUA